rnacentral:rRNA from 1 species
UACGAAGGGGGCUAGCGUUGCUCGGAAUCACUGGGCGUAAAGGGUGCGUAGGCGGGUUUUUAAGUCAGGGGUGAAAUCCUGGAGCUCAACUCCAGAACUGCCUUUGAUACUGGCAACCUAGAGACUGGAAGAGGUUAGUGGAAUUCCCAGUGUAGAGGUGAAAUUCGUAGAUAUUGGGAAGAACACCAGUGGCGAAGGCGGCUAACUGGUCCAGCACUGACGCUGAGGUGCGAAAGCGUGGGGAGCAAACAGG